GAUGAACGCUGGCGGCGUGCCUAAUACAUGCAAGUCGAGCGAACGGACGAGAAGCUUGCUUUUCUGAUGUUAGCGGCGGACGGGUGAGUAACACGUGGAUAACCUACCUAUAAGACUGGGAUAACUUCGGGAAACCGGAGCUAAUACCGGAUAAUAUUUUGAACCGCAUGGUUCAAAAGCGAAAGACGGUCUUGCUGUCACUUACAGAUGGAUCCGCGCUGCAUUAGCUAGUUGGUAAGGUAACGGCUUACCAAGGCAACGAUGCAUAGCCGACCUGAGAGGGUGAUCGGCCACACUGGAACUGAGACACGGUCCAGACUCCUACGGGAGGCAGCAGUAGGGAAUCUUCCGCAAUGGGCGAAAGCCUGACGGAGCAACGCCGCGUGAGUGAUGAAGGUCUUCGGAUCGUAAAACUCUGUUAUCAGGGAAGAACAUAUGUGUAAGUAACUGUGCACAUCUUGACGGUACCUAAUCAGAAAGCCACGGCUAACUACGUG
rnacentral:rRNA from 1 species